UUUCUCUCUCUCUCAUGAUGAAACGACCACCCAAUUUUCUCACUAGAGUUCUAACUAUUUUUUACCUUUUUCUUCUAAAGCAUCCACAAGAUCACCUUCUAUUCUCUAUUGUUUCAAGUAUAUUGGAAAAUUCUUCAAAGGGAGUAAACUGAAUACCACACUCUUCCAAAGAUUAAGAGAAGGUUAUAAAAAUAGUAAUUGAAGGAGAAUAAUGGAUUUAGAUACCCAAGGUAAGGGAACUGCCAUAACCUUAAAUUAUUAGUUUAUUGAGAAUUAUAUACUUACUUUUUUGUUGGAACUCAUUGGAUGGUAAUUUAAAACCAUUAAUUCAAGUAUUUUGAUUAUUUUUUUUAGUGUUGAUGACUUUUAUGGUACUAAUUUGUGUAUGUGUCAUGAAGGUACUUGGAGAAUGACUGCGGAAAGGUGUAGUGGGACGUUUUAUAAUCUAUGGUGAUGCGCAAUUAAUUUAAAGCCUUGGUAAACUCAUUUCUUGUUCCAUGGGAAGGUUGUUUUGUGGAAAUUACAAUAACAAACAGAAAUUGUGAAAGAAAAUAAUUAAUAUGAAAGAUUAUUGGCUGGGUACUAUUUUGAUGAGUUGAAAUAUCCCGAGUUGGUUGGUAAGCUGUUACUGUUAGCCUUAAUGAUUAGUUGUUAUACAUGAAGACAAUGACGUUAAAGGAAAGGCUAACAGUCUGUGAACUAUAAGAAUUGCUUGAGGUAUGUAAGGUUAUUAGAUAUCCUGUUUCUUUGGCAUGAAUUGAAAACUUGCAUUACAAAAAAUAAUCUUUCUAAGUGCCCUUGGUAGUGACUGAUUCAUAGUCACAGUUCCUACUCCCUAGACCAUUAAACUGAACACUCUAAUAUGAGUUUGUUACUAAAUUUACUUGUUUACUCUAGCUUGUGAUCAUUGUCAAAAUACCCUUGGAAUAUAUUUCUCUUAUAUAAAUCAACAUAAUUCUAUAUUACACAUGUUACAUGUGUUUAUAUCAUAUGUUCCCUUUAUUGGUUGUUACUCCCAUUUCGUUAGACUAUAAUGUUACCUCCCAAGAUCCCUAUUUUCUCUUUUGUACACUUAAUAUUCACUUACUUGGGAUAUGUAUCCGUCCUUAAGUUGAAUCUACACACGUUCCCCCUUGUUUCCACUUUCAUGAACACCUAGUAUUUGAUAUUAGUAAGUAUCAAAUAGAGUUAAAAUCUAUUGAUUGUUUCUUAAAUGUCCUCACUUGAUAUGCUUCAACUUGAGAUGUAAAAAUGCUUAUCGAGUCAUAUAAGCUCCUAAGUAUUACUGUGGUGUCAUAUUUGCUUCCCAUGUCAUUUUUAUUAUCGUAAGUUCAUAGUAAUGUAUUUUCUACUACUCGUCCAAAGGUCCAAUUCUAAUAAUGAUUAUGACCGUGAAAAUGACAAUCUCAAAAAGAGUUACGAUUAUCAAUAAUAGAACAAUCUCAAAAAAGUUAUAAACAUCAAAACAGCAAUUUCAAAGAUUAAAUAAUCUAAGAGAAGAAAUCUAUGAACUUGUGGGUUGCAACCCAGGGGGAAAUGCCCAGCAUGGGUCGAUCCAAAUAAGUAUUGAAGGGUGGGAGAUCUGGAGAAAAAGCCUAGAAUGGUCUGAUCACAAUUGGUAUAAGAGGGUGGCAGCUCAAGGGAGAAAGCCUAGCAUAGGUCGAUCCUAAUUUGUAGAAUUACGAGGAAAACAUGUCAAAGGUUAAAAUGCCUAGAAUGAGUCAUCCUAUAUUACCACUUAUUUGAAUCAUAUGUCUUAUAAAAAUUAUAACCCAUAGAAUAGUAAAGAAAAUAAUGUAAUAUAUAUGAUUCCACAAGUAUAACCAAAGGUGGUCUCAAAUCCUUAUCUAUUGGUAGUUGGUUCCACUUGAGAUCUAAUUUUACAUAUGGUUGUGUUAUGUCUUACAUAUACAUUACUUUCUUUCAUACUGACAUUCCUUAUUAGGGACACUGCAUUUCAUGAUUAAAGUACAAGUACUCAACUAGUAAAUCUUCCAAAUAGAAGCACAUUAUACUCCACGGUUGUUGAUGAGCUCCAGGUUGAUGCAGGGCUUUGCCGAGUCUUUAUUAUGCAUAUUUCACAGUCUUACAAUUAUGGAUCCAAGUAGAGGCUUUCUAGGCAUUGUAAAUUGUUAUUUGUAUUCAUAGCUUCACUUGUCACAUGUAUCGAUUCAGCUAGUCAACAUGCGUUGUAUAUUAAGUUUCUCAUUAGUAAAUAUAUCUCCAUAGUAGUAGUUUACUUUCUGAUCAUAGGUUACUCAUUAAAUAUUUAUUCAUAUAUUAAUGGUCAGCCUCACCUAGGGUUGGUGGAUGACAUAGUAUUUGGCAAGAUUCCAAGCUUGUCCAACAGGAUCACUUUUGAAGGAUACUAAGAGAAUACUAAGACACUUGAUGACGACAUCGACAUGACUCUACUCUAUCCAUCAGAAGUUUUUUUGUUUUUUUUUUGGAGGACUAUGGUGAUGUUUAUUAUUCUAGGUAUCAGGCUAAUACAAAUAAUAGAAAUGACUCAUUUUUUAGGCUAACAACUCUUUCACGGGGAACUAAAAGGAAAGAUUCAGUUGUUUUUUCAACACCUGAGGGAUAAUAUGUAGAAGAUGCAGCCUGAUUUGCCAAUAUUGUGGAUCAAGCCAUAUCUUUAAAAUAUUAGAAGACCUGGUCAAGAUAAACAAAUUUAUGUUGGGAUAUUGAAACUGAACUAAAUGGAUCCUUCCUAAAGAAAUCAACCAUCUCUUGACUAUUCAAAGGGAGUAGGUAUCCUUGUUUUUGAGUUAUGAUUUAGAAAAUUCAUUCCUAAAACUUUUGUAGGUAUACACACAUGGUACACUUUCUCAAGCAAACAUGAGUUCAAGAUAGAUCUAGGCAAUUAAACUCAACCUACAGAGACGGACAUGGUCUGUUCUCGAACGUUAGAACUCUUGAUAUUGCAGAUAUUGCAUUUUCAUUAAUACAUGAAAACUGUUGCAAUUGUCACAUGUCUGGUCGUUGUGCAAUUUUAGAAUAACAAGAUGAUACUUGUUUCCUAUCGAUACACCCUUCAUCUUCCCCUAUUGCUCCAUGUCUUUUUCCUUAUCCCUGGAAAACUCAAUUUCACAUCCAAUAAGAAAUUUUAAAAACCCUCUUUCUUCUUCUCUUAAAAAAAACUUCAAAUUCUUAUUGAUUUUUCUUGAGAAUUUUUCGAUUAAGAAAUUCGUUAGUGUGAAGAGUGACUAGCUCCAACAAUAAAAAGAAUAAGGUGCAAAAGAUGAUGUUCAAAAAGGUGAAGGGUUGAUACUAUGAGAAAUCAAAGUAUUCUUAAUAGGAGGGUGUUAUAUAUAUAUAUAUAUAUAUAUAUAAUGAAUGAAAUGGUCCCUUAGUUAUUAACCUAUUAAUCUUGGAGGUCUGAAGUAAGUUUGAGGUUACAAAUCCUUCUAUUACAAUGCGAGAAUACAUGCACAAGAUCAUUUCUACUAAUGAUGGUAAAUAUGGCAUGAGAUAUGAGUACUUUCUGACCUAGAAUGUGAACGUGUUGAUGGGAAGAGAAAAAAUAUAUUUCUAUGUUUUUGGUGGAACAGGAGAAACUCAAGCUUGCUUUUGAAGCUAUGACAGCUUGUGUUGCUAACAACGAUACUUAAAGAUUGUGUGUGAAGGCUCAACUUCUGUAAAUCACAAUCAGAGAGACCAGGUUGAGAAGAAUAGACAACCUGAAUAAUUAUCAUGAAGCCGAGGCAGCGAAGAAUGUUGAACUUUUUGUGAGAAAUUAUGAUGAGGAAAAUGCUCUCCUAAUCUUACAUUGUCCAUCUCUUGUUCCUAAGUCCUUCACUCUUGCUGAAUUCCCAUGUUCCUAAGCCCCUCACUCCUCCUAAACUCCCGUGUUAGUCCUCUUCGUUUUCUAUUGAAAUUCAGUGAGCAUUGUCUUAGUUCUCAGUCAUAAUGAUGUCUGCAAUGAUUUGAUGGUUGAUUUUUUGUUUUUGAAUGAAAAAAAAUUAUAUUAUUUCUUUUGACAUGUCUCAUAACUCUAUUAAUUUUUAGUCAUGCUAAGUGUUGCCGAAGUGGCCAUGAAUUUCCUUAAUCUACAUUUCUGGCAACAUGGUUUACUGCUUAAACUCUUUUUAUGACGUCAAAAGGGAGAAUAUUUUUAGGGUAUGAGAUCAAUGAUCACAUUGUCAUGCCGACAAGGGAAGCAGGGGUACUUUAAGAGUAAAUGGUCAUUCAUAUAGGAAGAAUAAGUGGUAUUUGAAGAGGAUAUGGUCAUGCUGAUAGGGGGAGAAGUUGAAAAAAAAUUGACAUUAUCAAAAGGUAGAAAAUGUUUUUUGAUUAUCGAUGUGAUGUUUUGGUGAUUUGAAAAACUUUGGCAAUGUUGUAUAAAGGGGACCAAUCUAGUUAUCUGAAGAGGCACGCUGAUAAGGGAACAUGUGAAAGAGGGAAAAAAGGUGAAUAAGUUUGUUAUCAUCAAAAAGAGGGAAAAUGUUACCUUUGAGCUGAUGGUAAUUUUUGAUUAUUUCACAAACUUAGAGAUUUAACAAAGAACUGUAUCAAAGAAAGGGUCCUCUGGUAUUGGACUGAGCAACGAGAAAUGAAUGAAUAAACUCAGCAUGAGAAAUAUUUGUGUCUUCAUAAUAAAGGGGGGAAAUAUUAUAUUCUUGCAUUUUGAUGACCCUCUCAAGUGCUGGCUCCUGGUCUUUGGCAGAGGACUUCCGUAUAGUUUUAAAGUUGUGCAAAGCUGUAAAGUUAGCUUUACAGCGGUAUUGUAAGGUUUGUUGGUGAGAUGUAUAGCAUAGUUCACUAAUAGGAAGAGUGGAUGAACUUGUUUGUUUUAGUGGUAAAAACCAUUGUGGGUAAUGGAUAUAUAUAUACAAACAUAAACAAACAACAACAUUCAUUUAAAAAGGGAGAAAGUUAGUAAGUCUUUUUCAAGAACUCAGACAUCAAAGAACGCAACAAGAGACUUUGUCCUGAAAAGUCUGCGAAUGAGGAAAGGACGAAAAGACAGUUUGUGAAUAGGCUAUGAACUUUGAUGUGGUUGAUUCACAACCUUUCAUGACAGCAGGCUUUCCGCCAAUGACCAUGUCCCAACGGUUUGUGUCAACUAUGAUAAUAGUCUCUUGUCAAAAACACAAGCCCUUGUUUUGGUAAAUAAAGAUGUGUAUUUUUUGAAAAUUCACAAGCUUAAACGAAAAGUCCAUUUUCAAAAAGUAUUAUCCUCAAGAGAAACAGGGACUUGAUAGAGCUCCAAGUUGUCUAGUUGUCUUAGGAUUAUAUCUUUCAUUCUACAUUGUACAUCUAUUCCUAGUCUAUUAAUGAAUUAGAUCGUUGUUUAGUUUGUCUAAAAGUUUAAGUCAAUUAAGGUAAAUUGAUUUAGCGGGCAACAUUACUGCUGCUUAAUCAAAUUCAAAGUCAUCUCGUGGUAGUUGAUUUAGUGGGAAAAGUGGUUGUUGCUUAAUAAAAAUACUAAGUCAUAUAGGUGGAAUGGUUUAGUGUGCAACACAGUCAUCUAGGUGGAAUGGUUUAGUGCGCAACACAGUUGUUUUUUAAUAAAAUUCUAAGUUAUAUAGAGGUGGGUAGGCUGGUGGGUAGGUCAGUGGGCAAUAUGUCAUUUCUUAGUUAAUUUCUUUAUAGUAGAUGUGCUACAUUGAGGGGGAAGAGAUUUAGAGGUAAAUUUCUAGGUUGAAAGCAUUGUAAUUUGAAUGAGUUCUCGGUUUGAGUUAUAUGAGGUUGUGUUAAAAAUCAUGUGAGAACAGGUCGUGGUUUUAACCUCCCUAUAGCAAUAGUGUUUCCAUGUAAAAUCAUUGUGUAGAUUUUACUUCCAACUAUAUACUUUCUGCAUUUAUUUCAAUUGAUGUUCUUUUUGAUUCAGGGGACCUGUUCCAUUGAUGUCAGUGGGCCGUACUACUAUGUGUGAUUAUAUUACAAUUCUUACCCUAUAAAAGCACAUGGUCCAUUGACUAUGAGUUGAUGCACACAUCCUAAUAUCCCACAAGAGGAUCAGGGGAGGAUAGGAUUCACUCUUACCUUUUAGGGGUACAGACAUUUCUUGUGACAGACCAUCGACUCAAAAGAAGUAAGAUAAAAGCAUAAUUGAAAGGAAAAUAAAGAGAAUACUAGUGAAAAUUGAAGAAUAAGAUACUACUAACUACAAACUAAACUGAAUCAUCAACAUAAUUAUAGGGUUGCGCUACCAUUGAAGAGGUGGAAGAAGUUUUUUUAGGGUUACCCCAAUACUAAAAUUGCUUAUUCUUCCCAACAAGUGUGAUUCUUCUUUUUCACAAGAGGGUUUUUGUUAGAAACAUGAGGAAAAUGAAAUGAAAGGUGUAAAUCAAGUCUUGCUUUUGUUUUUGGUGACACUUUGACCAAAAAGUGGUCCACUUUAAAAUGUAAUAAAGUAAAUCUAGAACCAAAUUAACAUUUUCAAAACUUUCUUAUUUUUUAUUAUAUAAAAUAAAAAAAACAGUUUAGUUUUAAAAUUGUAUAAUUCCAUCCUAACCAUAAUACAAAAGUAAAAGAAAAUAGAAUUUUCUCUUUUUCUUUAUCUCCCAACUCCCUCUCUUCUUCAUCCUUCGAAAAUUCGACCAUCAACAAAUAUAUUCCCAUUAUCUUCCUUAUCAUCUCAAACGGUCCGUCUCUCUUUAUUAGUUGAAGAUCAUUUUCACUUGAAAAUGGGUAGGUCUUUUUUUGAAAUAUUUACAAUUUUGUAACAAUACAUUCUUGAUCAUAAGUUUUUUUCUUGGGUUAAUGAACAAUAAAUCGUUCUGUCAAUGUGAAAAUUUAUUAUUGAUGUAUUAUAGCUAUUAUUUACUCCCUCCUUUUUAAAAUGAAUGACCCUAUUUCCUUUAAGAAUGACACCUUUCCUUUUUUGGUAACACCUUAAUUUUAACUUUUCACGUGACAUUUUUAAGACCAUAAAAUAAAAGAGUAUUUUGGUACAUUUGACAUACCUUGUAUUUAUAACCACAAGAAUAAAAAGUCUUCUUUCUUUUCUUAAACUCCGUUGCAAGUCAAACGAGUUCAUUUUUUUGAAACGGAGGGAGUUCUGUUUUUCAAAAAAAAUUAACAAACCCAAAAAACCCUGAUUUUAAGAAAAUGUAUAUCUAUUAUUGUUGUUCACUGAAAAUUUGUUGUUUUUUGUUUUUGUUAUUCCUUUUUUUGACAUAUUAUAUUCAUAUGAGUUUACAAAAAUAAUCUUGUUGUGUUGUCCAACAUAUAUUUCAUUUGUUGAAAGAUGUAUCGUAUGUUGAAACAUGUUAGUGAUAUGUUUGUACAUAUUCCAAAAGAGUUGUCAUAUGUUGGAAGAUGUCACCUAUGUGUUAGAGUAACAAAAUGGUUAUCUGUAACAACAUGUUACACAUUGUGACAACAAAAGAUUCAUCUACAUCAAUAAAGGUACAUAUGUGGCAACAAAAUGUCCAUAUGUGUUAACAUAAGUAUAAAUUGCCACCAAUUAUUAUUUUAGGGAUAAUGCCCAAGUACCCCCUCAACCUAUGCCCGAAAUCUCAGAGACACACUUAUACUAUACUAAGGUCCUAUUACCCCCUGAACUUAUUUUAUUGAUAAUUUUUUACCCCUUUUUAGCUUACGUGACACUAUCUUGUGGGUCCAACGAUGAUUGACUUUUUUUUCGAACUAGUGCCACGUAGGCUAAAAAGGGGUAGAAAAUUACAUAUAAAAUAAGUUCAGGGGGGUAAUAGGACCUUAGUAUAGUAUAAGUGUGUCUCUGGGAUUUCGGGCAUAGGUUGAGGGGGUACUUGAGUAUUUUCCCAUUAUUUUAUAAUAAGUUGUAAACUCUAAACAUUUUUUUAUUUACCUUGUAGAUCAAAUGACACCCGAAGAUUCAUCUAUGACAACAACUCAAUCUUUUGUUGGUGAUGAAUCAUCUUUUAAUAUUAAAUGCUCUUUUAUGAUUUGAAGAAUGUGAGCAACGAUAUGAUUUUUUUAUUACUUGUGUUAAAGAAC
rnacentral:lncRNA from 1 species